UGGGCAACCUGCCCUCAGCUCUGGGAUAUCCCCGGGAAACCGGGGCUAAUACCGGAUACGACCUCCGCGGGCAUCUGCGGAGGUGGAAAGGUUUUCCGGCUGAGGAUGGGCCCGCGGCCUAUCAGCUAGUUGGUGGGGUGAUGGCCCACCAAGGCGACGACGGGUAGCCGGCCUGAGAGGGCGACCGGCCACACUGGGACUGAGACACGGUCCAGACUCCUACGGGAGGCA
rnacentral:rRNA from 1 species